rnacentral:sRNA from 1 species
AUUCCCGGCCAGGAAACGCCGUGGCGCCGCGUUGGGCCUAACUCGAGUCCUGCCGCCUCCCGGGAGUGCCGUGCGCCGCAGCCCGGGCCCAGGCCCCGGCAGCGCCUGGGACAAGGUCUUCAGAACUACUAGCAGAUAAUUUGGGGGGACUUCAUAUUCAGAAGUCUAUAUAAAGAUUUACUUCAAUUUCCCAAAGGCUUAGAAGAUGUACUGCCAAGGUCUCUGUUUGAAUAUACUGUUAGGGAAAGGAAACAUACAUGUGAUUCCUCAUGUCCAUAACAUGUUGGAUGAGGCUCUGCAGCUCACCCCCACUCUCAGAGUGGUCAGUCUCCAUUAAUUGGACCCCGUGAUUUCCAAUCUCUGCUGUGUUGGACGUCAUGAGCAUUGCAAUCCCUCUGGGAGUCACCACACCAGAUACAUCCUACUCAGAUAUGGCUGCUGGAUCAGAGGUAUCCUGUCUUGGUAGUGAAUGGAAG